rnacentral:rRNA from 1 species
UACGGAGGGUGCGAGCGUUGUCCGGAAUCAUUGGGCGUAAAGGGCGCGUAGGUGGCCCGGUCAGUUCGUGGUGAAAGCGCGGGGCUCAACCCUGCGUCGGCCAUGAAUACUGCCGCGGCUGGAGCACUGUAGAGGCAGGCGGAAUUCCAGGUGUAGCGGUGAAAUGCGUAGAUAUCUGGAGGAACACCGGUGGCGAAGGCGGCAUCCUGGACCAACACUGACACUGAGGAGCGAAAGCCAGGGGAGCAAACGGG